AGUUUUCUAGCUCAGUUGGUUAGAGCAUGGUGCUGAUAACAGCAAGGUCACAGGUUUGAUCCCCAUAUGGGAAAGCUA
rnacentral:tRNA from 1 species